UUGUCCGUAAGGGAUACCCACCUUCAAUUUAUAUGGGUGGUGGCUUUGCAAGUUAAGGAGAUUGUUGCAGGAUGGUCAAGAAAUUCCAGAUGGUCUUCACUGAUGACAUGGACAGAACUCCAAACCACAAAACAAACAAAAUGUAUCACCCAAAGUCUGUUUCUGAGUUCUGGAUUUUCGAUGAAUCGCUGAUCACAUAAAAUUCGGAGGAAUUACAAUUUGUUUAAAACUGAAUAAAGAAGUGUCAACAUGAAAGAAAUCAGUUCUAGAAG